rnacentral:sRNA from 1 species
ACACGCAGGGCUUGCUCUGCGUGUUAGUGGCGGACGGCUGAGUAACGCGUAGGUGACCUGCCCCGAAGUGGGGAAUAACUGCCCGAAAGGGUGGCUAAUACCGCAUGUGGUGAUGCGUUCAUUCGCAUCAGUAAAGCCGCAAGGCGCUUCGGGAGGGGCCUGCGUCCGAUUAGCUCGUUGGUGGGGUAACGGCUCACCAAGGCGACGAUCGGUAGGUGGUCUGAGAGGACGAUCAGCCGCACAGGAACUGAGACACGGUCCAGACUCCUACGGGAGGCAGCAUUCCCCCGUGGCUCGAAACGAACGCUGGUUUUCUUCUCAGGGAUCUAGAAGUCUCCUAGAAAUCUCAGU